GCUCAGGAUGAACGCUGGCGGCGUGCCUAAUACAUGCAAGUCGAGCGAAUUGACAGAGAUGCUUGCAUCUCUGGAUUUUAGCGGCGGACGGGUGAGUAACACGUGGGUAACCUACCUAUAAGACUGGGAUAACUUCGGGAAACCGGAGCUAAUACCGGAUAAUAUUUAGCUUCGCAUGAAGCAAUAGUGAAAGACGGUUUUGCUGUCACUUAUAGAUGGACCUGCGGUGUAUUAGCUAGUUGGUGAGGUAACGGCUCACCAAGGCAACGAUACAUAGCCGACCUGAGAGGGUGAUCGGCCACACUGGGACUGAGACACGGCCCAGACUCCUACGGGAGGCAGCAGUAGGGAAUCUUCCGCAAUGGACGAAAGUCUGACGGAGCAACGCCGCGUGAGUGAAGAAGGUUUUCGGAUCGUAAAACUCUGUUGUAAGGGAAGAACAAGUACGUUAGUAACUGAACGUACCUGACG
rnacentral:rRNA from 1 species